AACGUCCCCCUUUUCGCCCCAUUUUACAGAGAGGAGUCGGAGGCCCAGAAAGAAGAAAUAACUUGUAGAAGUUAUUUCCAGAAGAAAUAACUGGGCGCUGAGGUGGCCAGUUAGGAUCAGAACCCAGGUAAAUACCUAGGAGCGGGAUGGCUGGACUAUAUGAAACAAAGCUGCUCUCAGUGGAUUUCCAAGAUGAAUACCACAGCUGCAUCCAUCCCAAACACAGGGGCCUUGAAUGCCUGUGGCGGGGCACACCUGCAGAGCUGGGCCUGGCCUGGACCAUGUGGCAGCUCAGCAGUUCACAGUCCUGCUGGGCCCUCCCAGCCGCCCCACCCCAGGAGGCCACAGAGGGUCCCCGGUGCUGAGAGCCGCUGGGCGCCUCUCAGGGAGAAUCCGCCAACAAUCUCUGCCCUGUCAAGGGUGCAGGGCUUGGCCCCCUCUGCCCAGGGACUGUCCAACUGCUGGGGUGAGGCUGGGGCUGCAGCGGGCAAGUGGGCCUGUGGGGACUGUGGUUCUGGGAGUCUCAGGCCUUAGUCUCACUGGAGCCCAGUUCUGGUAUUUUCAAGCUUUUCUCCAGCCAGAAAUAAUGCUAAUAUCCUACAACUGCAGCUUUUUCAGGGCACUACCACAAUUGAGACUUUCUCUUCAAGUAACAAUGAGAAUUUGUUCUGAGCCUUUGCGAUAAGAAAGGAGAGAGAAGAUCAUUCCUAGAGGCAGGAGGAGCAGAAAAUCAUCUCAACAAAAAGCACAGACUUCUCAUGAUAUAUUAUUAUGCUUUCAAAUAAGUAUUUCCACAAACCCAUUCUUUAGUUUAAAAUAAAGUGGCUCUGAAGUCUUAGAUUAUCUUGGCCAUGUCUUGUUUUAGGAGGAAAAAUCUGAUCUGGGGAAGCUGGUGGAUGAGCAACUUUGUCGUGGGGCCCAGCCUGGCAAGCUGCUCCCUUGAUGCAUCACGAUGCUGAGUUUCGCCAUAGGCUGUCUUCUGUGGGGAGUGUGAGAAGGGAAUCCCUUAUAAGGAGCGAUCCCUACUGAUUUAGUAAGUUAC
rnacentral:lncRNA from 1 species